UCUAUUCAUGAUGUUUGACUUUACCUCUUUUUUCAAAUUUUAGCAAUAGGUAAUUACUUAAUGCCACGUGCCCCAUAAUUUUGUUAACAAAAGAAGAAAAGGAAAUUAAAGCCUCUUAUGGGAAAUAACAAGGAAUACACAGAACACUCGUUUCUUUUUCUCUGCAAUUCAACUUUCACAAAAAUCCUCUUCACUCUCCAUCUCUCUCUUCGCGGCGGAAGGAAUGGGGUUCUCGGCGGAAUGCGGUGGUGGCUACCGACAGCGACAGAUGGUGCGGCGCAACAGACUGAAAAAGGCUGGCUUUGCACUCGGUGAUCUGGCACGGCGAGAUGAAUGAAAUUUUCUACAGAGGAUGUUGUUUGGAUUUUGGCAGAGCUAUGGAUGGACAUUGGAUUUGAAUUUUUUUUUUUUUUGGAAACAGGUUAUAGCUAUUGGUUUUCAAACAGGUUAUAAGUUGAUUUUGAAAUAGCUCGGUGAGGUUAUGAUUAUGUUAUCGUUCUAAUUUGAAACGGGUAAUGUUAAUAAUGUAAAUGAAAGUAAAACACAAAAAUGAUAUUUGAAUCCGAGAUA